UGGAAUAUGUAAUGAUAUAUUCUGUGACUCUAGUAUAUUAGUCUUGUAUCAGCUCAGUCUGUUGUGAAUCCUGCCCACUUCUUUGCAUGGUCAGCACAUGCUUCAGUGCUCUGAGAGUGUUUAUAGAGCUGUGAGUUUAACACUUCAUGACUGAGAGCAGAACAGAACACAAUCUUCAUCAUCACACAAGACACAACAACAACAAUGAACAACAUCAUCAUCCUCAUCUGGACCAUUGCAGCUUUUAUUCAUGAAUCCAGAGGAAUCACUGUGACCCAGCCUAAAGUUAAAACUGUCCAGCUCGGUCAAACAGCUACAAUAGAGUGUAAUCUGGAUGUAGGACUAUCCUCUAAUGAUUUAGCUUGGUAUCAGCAGAAACCUGGAGAAGCUCCUAAACUCCUCAUAUAUGGCAUACAAUACCUCCAGUCAGGAACUCCAUCUAGAUUCAGUGGCAGUGGAUCUAGAAAAGGAAAAUAUUUCACUCUGACCAUCAGUGGAGUCCAGACUGAAGAUACAGGAGAUUAUUACUGUCAGAGUUACCACAGUGGUUAUGUGUUCACACAGUGAUAAAGAGUCGUACAAAAACCUCCGUCAGUCAGAGUCACAGUGACUGCACUGAUACAGCUGAGAGACACUGCAGCUGAUG